rnacentral:misc_RNA from 1 species
AAGACUAUAGACCUGCGGAGUACCUGCGGAAGGAUCAUUAAUUAAGAUGAUGCCCUUCUUAGGGAACUCCUCCCGGCAUUGCCGGGUGCACUCACAUCUCCUUGUGAAUUGUCCUAUUGCUUUGGUAGCAUCUCACAAGUUGAGUUGUUAGCCUACCUUUAGCUUUCAAUGAAACUUCUAUGAUAUUCAUAAAAUGUCUGAAAAGAAAGCAAAUUCUUACAAAACUUUCAGCAACGGAUC